rfam:Gossypium raimondii Chr04_contig_377, whole genome shotgun sequence.
AAUCCAUGCAUAGGACUUUCCUAAGCAAGUCUUUGAACCUUUCCCAUGCUUCAUACAGUGUUUCAUCCUCUAGUUUCUUGGAGGAUGUUAUAUCAUUUCUUAGUUU